AACGCUGGCGGCGUGCCUAACACAUGCAAGUCGAACGGAGUUCCUUCGGGGACUUAGUGGCGAACGGGUGAGUAACGCGUGAAGAACCUGCCUUUCAGUGGGGGACAACAGUUGGAAACGACUGCUAAUACCGCAUAAUGUUAUUUGAGGGCAUCCCCGGAUAACCAAAGAUUUAUUGCUGAAAGAUGGCUUCGCGUCUGAUUAGCUAGAUGGCGGGGUAACGGCCCACCAUGGCGACGAUCAGUAGCCGGUCUGAGAGGAUGAACGGCCACAUUGGGACUGAGAUACGGCCCAGACUCCUACGGGAGGCAGCAGUGGGGAAUAUUGGGCAAUGGGCGAAAGCCUGACCCAGCAACGCCGCGUGAAGGAAGAAGGCCCUCGGGUUGUAAACUUCUUUUACCAGGGACGAAUAAUGACAGUACCUGGAGAAAAAGCAACGGCUAACUACGUG
rnacentral:rRNA from 1 species